rnacentral:rRNA from 1 species
GACGAACGCUGGCGGCGUGCUUAACACAUGCAAGUCGAACGAUGAAGCCCAGCUUGCUGGGUGGAUUAGUGGCGAACGGGUGAGUAACACGUGAGUAACCUGCCCCUGACUUCGGGAUAACCGCGAGAAAUCGUGGCUAAUACUGGAUAUGAGACGUGCUCGCAUGGGUGUGUCUGGAAAGAUUUAUCGGUUGGGGAUGGACUCGCGGCCUAUCAGCUUGUUGGUGGGGUAAUGGCCUACCAAGGCGACGACGGGUAGCCGGCCUGAGAGGGUGACCGGCCACACUGGGACUGAGACACGGCCCAG